GCCAAUCUGAGAAAGAGUAUUAGACGGUCCAAUCAACAAAACCUUCCUUCCACCUCCUUUUUAUCUUACAAUCACACAACUUUCGUAUCAAUCAGAUUCACAUCUAAAUCAUAACCGAAACCCACAAACCAGAUAUCUCGGCGAGGUGUUCACGUGUCGCUUUGUAAAAUUUAUUUGCCCUUUUGUAUCGAAGAUAUCGACUUGAUCUGUUGAUAACCAAUUCAACCUUCUCUUUCUUUUACUGAAUUUCGACAGAAGAAGAACGGACCGGUUCCGAAUUAAGCAGAAGAACGCAUAAGCAAUACAGCCUUCAGCUUGAGGUACGAAACAAGAUGAACAUAACACCCCUGAGAGCUGUGGUACCCUUUCGGUACAUAUACCGAAUCAGAGUACGUGUAUCAAGAGUCUGGAGACCUAGAUUCCGUAAGACUGAGAAAUAUGAUGGGCUGUACUAUGUGUUGAUCGACCAAAAUACAUUUACGGCUGCAGCAUAAACGUGAAAGCACCACAUGAACGUAAAAAAAAAAGAGGAGACCAAGUGUGGGAUCACUGUUCAAAACCUGAGAAGGGAAACUCUCAACAUCACUCUUUGGGGAGACAUCGCCAGAUCAUUCGAUGUUGGGACCGUGCAAAGAUCAGCUCCGCCUUUGCUUGCUGUGUUCACAAGCAUGAAUCCUGGAGAAUAUGAUGGUUCUCCAAAACAGGAGACAAGGUGCGCAUAACCGGUGUCAUCUCCAACCAUGAAACAGUUAAGAGCGGUCGAACAACCAAACCGAGUAACUGUGUCAGAGCUGAAUGCGCUCAAUCCAUUAGAUUACACGGUAUUUAUACAUAUAAUUAUCCAUAUCUACCCACAGUUCUGACAUUUUAUAUUCUAUGUCACAAGCUUAUACACUCGAGGCCUCCAAAAUCCUCCUAUAUAAUAUCUCUUAAUAACUAUUUAUGUGCUACAGAACAAGACAGUUUACUGCAGUGCCUCAAUUCGGAAAUUUGCACGAGACGGAUGGUGGUAUAGGAGCUGCGCAACCUCAGGCUGUUACAGGAUGGUGCAUAAAAAUGAGGAGGCGGCCAAUAAGUACUUCUGUCCAAUACAUGGUCUUCAAAAACCACAACCAUCGUAAGUGCUUAUAUAUCAAAGAUAGCAGAGGUGGUACUUUUAUUCAGUAUCAUCAUCGAUUCAUAGGUAUAUACCGGACAUCAAAUUACCUUGGAAAAAAAUCACUACACGACUUUGAAAGGAAUUGGUGGAUAAAGCGUAAUUUCAUUUGUUAUAACAUAACUAACUCUUUCCCGUAUGAUACACAUGCAGCUAUUCAGUCAAUAUGACGGUCGAGGACAAAGAGAGUCGGGCCACAUUGACUGUGAUGGGAAGAGAGGCUGCCCAACUUUUCAACAGUAGCUGUCAAGAACUGCUAGAGAAGAGGUUCUCCCCAACUG